GCCGACAUAGGCAAAGGACGAAGAAGAGAGAGAACUCUGUGUUGCUUCUUCACAGUUGAGACAAAUCAUUAAAUGAAGACUGAUGUCGAGGAAAGUGAGUAACAGAGCUCAACACCAAACGGACAGGAAGUAAAAGAGAAGACAAGAAAUACCACCGGUCAUCCUGGCUGGUCAGCUAUGGGGAAUGAAGGGAGCCAGGUGAACUCGGCGGCAGUCGGGAUCGUCGUGGGCUUUGGUAUCCUGGUGAUCCUCUUCAGCAUUGCCAUUGUGCAAUUCUGCUGCAAGUACAAAUGCAAAAACUGCUGCAAGAAAAAGGAUCUGUCACUGAAAGACAAAGUGCUUAACAAAGUCGGCUUAAAGAAGUCUCCUCCUCCCUUCUCCAUCAGCAACGUCAUAAAAUGACGGCCGACUUGGUGGCAGUUGUUUCUGGCAACCUCCAUGAGAGAAGACACCCCCUCAUCUGUCACUUUCCUACGCAUCACUUAUCUUGUUUUCAGUAUGUUAUCUGUUCCUGCAUUUAAUGAUAUCAUUUAGGUUGAUGCUUUAACAUGAAUACUGUGGAGGGAUUUUCUUUCAUGUCAUAUUUACAUUACUUUGUGUAAUGUCAUAUAAAUAUACAGCAUAUUUCCUUGUGAAAAGAGUCUUGGUUUGAUAUGUUGUGGCUUCUCGGGAUAGAAACUUGCAGGCACACACACCACAGAAACUAAUGCAUACAUUCUGCUACAUAUGAGAAGCACUUUUGAGGGGGAGGAACGAUAUCAACAGCUUAACCUCUGCAACCAGGCUCAGGCUCAGAUCAGUUUUCUUGUAAACUGCAGGUGGCUUCCCUUCAAAGUCACAUAUCUACUACCUUCUUCAUACUUUCUAUAGUUGGCGGAACCAUGUCUCAUAGUUCUCGUAUAAUGAAACUACUGUAAAACGUGUUUCUCUGUAUCUGAUGUUUUUCUGAUAUGAGCUAAGGUGAAGAAAGGUCAACUUUUCAACAACAGGAGUUAAAAGUUUGUGAAUAUAAUGAUUUUAGGUGACUUCAGGCUGCCUUCUCUGCACAUAAACACUUAUGGCAGAUGAUCCACUCAUGGGGCUGCAAUGUUUAAAAGCUCUGCGUUUUAUCCAUAACUAAUAAAACAUUAAACAAU
rnacentral:lncRNA from 1 species